AUUGAACGCUGGCGGCAGGCCUAACACAUGCAAGUCGAGCGGAUGAAGGGGGCUUGCUCCUGGAUUCAGCGGCGGACGGGUGAGUAAUGCCUAGGAAUCUGCCUUGUAUUGGGGGAUAACGUCCGGAAACGGGCGCUAAUACCGCAUACGUCCUGAUGUAGAAAGUGGGGGAUCUUCGGACCUCACGCUAUCAGAUGAGCCUAGGUCGGAUUAGCUAGUUGGUUGGGUAAAGGCCUACCCAGGCGACGAUCCGUAACUGGUCUGAGAGGAUGAUCAGUCAGACUGGAACUGAGACACGGUCCAGACUCCUACGGGAGGCAGCAGUGGGGAAUAUUGGACAAUGGGCGAAAGCCUGAUCCAGCAAUGCCGCGUGUGUGAAGAAGGUCUUCGGAUUGUAAAGCACUUUAAGUUGGGAGGAAGGGAAGUAAGUUAAUACCUUGUUGUUUUGACGUUACCAACAGAAUAAGCACCGGCUAACUUCGUG
rnacentral:rRNA from 1 species